CAUUCACCACCGCGUGACGCGGCGCCGGGUCGCCGCCGCAGAUUCGACACAAAACCCGGAAGGACCCCGCCGAAGGUUUUCUCCGGUUCGGGAGAGAGACGGAGUCCCGCUCUGUCACGCAGGCUGCCAGGCUGGCGUACAGUGGCGCAAUCUCAGCUCGCUGCAACCUCCACCUCCUGGGUUCAAGCGAUUUUCUUGCCUCUGCCUCCUGAGUAGCUGGGAUUACUGGCACACACCACCAUGCACAGGGAGAUAUGAGACAUCAAUCAAUAUAUGUAAGAUGUACAUCAGUUUCGUCUGGAAAGAUGGGACAACAUGAAGCAGGGAGGGGGCUCCCUGGUGACAGUUCCUUGUUCAAAAUGCCAAGAACCUGGAUGACUCAUAGUCAAGACCCUCCACCAGUAACAUAUAUUGGCGAGCCAGCCAGGAGCGAAUGGGUCUCAUGAGAUCUGAUGGUUUUGAAAAUGGGAGUUGCCCUGCACAAGCUCUCCUUUUGCCUGCUGCCAUCCACAUAAGAUGUGAUUUGCUCUUCCUUGCCUUCCACCAUGAUUGUGAGGCCUUCCCAGCAUGUGGAAAUGGUCCAGCCUGCAAUAACUGAAGCCCCCAGACCUGGAACCUGAAGAUCCCAUCAGCCACUAAACCUGUGAACCUGUAGAAGACCUGAAGUACCUGUUUAAAAGGCAGCCAAAAGAUAAGUAAAUUCCUAUCAACUUUCCUUGGUGUCCUUCUUGUAUAUUUACUGUAAGCUGGAUAUA
rnacentral:lncRNA from 10 species